UGGGGAAUAUUGCGCAAUGGACGAAAGUCUGACGCAGCGACGCCGCGUGUGGGAGGAAGCUCUUCGGGGUGUAAACCACUGUCAGGAGGGAAGAACGGCGCCGGUUCGAACAGUUCCGGCGAUUGACGGUACCUCCAAAGGAAGCGCCGGCUAACUCCGUGCCAGCAGCCGCGGUAAGACGGAGGGCGCAAGCGUUGUUCGGAAUUACUGGGCGUAAAGAGCUCGUAGGCGGUUUCGUAAGUCGGAUGUGAAAACUCAGGGCUCAACCCGGAGACGCCAUCUGAUACUGCGAUGACUAGAGUCCGGUAGAGGAGCAUGGAAUUCCUGGUGUAGUGGUGGAAUGCGCAGAUAUCAGGAGGAACACCAACGGCGAAGACAGUGCUCUGGGCCGGAACUGACGCUGAGGAGCGAAAGCAUGGGGAGCAAACAGGAUUAGAUACCCCCGUAGUCCCUGAGCGGGCUGGCAAGGCGCAU
rnacentral:rRNA from 1 species